rnacentral:lncRNA from 1 species
AGCAAGGUGGCUGGCCGGCAGGCCAAUGGCGGCCAACGCCACUUCCGGCCGCCCUCCGAGCAUCGCUCUUCGGCAACCCGAAGCCACAGGAUGGAGGAGGGGGAUCCCAGCAAAGAUCCCAGUUUCUGACCUGUAGCAUAGUCCCUCUCUCUGAAGAACUUCCUGUAAUAUUUUUUGCUAGGAAGAGUUUGAAGUUUGAAAUCCCAGAAUGAGGAAAUUCAUCCAGCUUGGAGACUUCCAAUCCCUUCAUUGUGCAGAAGGUUGCUAAUGCUCUCAGGAGAAGCCCUUCACCAAGAGAAUACUUCCACAUAGAGUCCUCUCCAUUGAGACUAAGGAAACAUGCUAUGUCAUGUAGCCACAGCAGCCUUUGCAGCUGUUGAAGGCAGCAAGACUUGCAUGGCAAUCAGAAGACACAGAACCAAGACUCAUAUCCAGUUAUAAGAUGGCAGAUGGGACACACACUCAUCAGGCUUAGUGAGCAGCCAAUCCAGAGGGAACCAUACUCAGCCCUAGGGGCUGGGCGCGGUGGCUCUCGCCUGUAAUCCCAGCACUUUGGGAGGCCAAGGCGGAUGGAUCACCUGAGGUCACGAGUUCAAGACCAGCCUGACCAACAUGGAGAAAUCCCAUCUCUACUAAAAAUACAAAAUUAGCUGGGCAUGGUGGUGCAUGCCUGUAAUCCCAGUUACUCGGGAGGCUGAGGCAGGAGAAUCACUCGAACCCGAGAGGCAGAGGUUGUGGUGAGCUGAGAUUGUGCCAUUGCACUCCAGUCUGGGCAACAAGAGUGAAACUCUGUCUCAAAAAAAAAAAAAAA